CAGAAGCAGCGCACCCUACUGUUCCUUCAUCUUCCUCAGCUUUCAACUCGCCUUAACUCGUUUCCGAGUUCACUCACAUGGUCCCCUCCCUCUACGUCACCUUAUUUCCCAACGGAUUUGUCAGAAGAGUACGAAUAUUCUCUCAAAAUUGCACGAUUUCGGGUACGAAAGGACAAUUUGCUGGAUGAAUGGAACUCGUGGAUAGAUGUAAAUCGAUCCACGCCUUCCAUUUGUCCAAAAAAUUGUUCAAAAAAAAGACUCGAAGAUUUUCGGAUUUUGGGCAGAUUUUUCGAAGGCUAUAUAUAUGAGGUAAGUCUCUUUGUUAGGUUAGAGAAAAAUUAGGAAAAAUCUUCAGAAAAAUUGAGUCGAGUUUCUAGGGUUUGAAGUCGUCAUUUUCUUCAAGCCAUUUUUCUUUAGUCUGCUUCUUUUUUAGAAAAGAUAAAAAAAAACACAAUGGUUUAAGUUCGAUUUUGAUUCAAGCUUUUUUUAGUUCAUUUUCGGAGAAAAAUCGAAAGAAAAAUCAGAGACAAUUUUCGGAGUUUGGUAGUGAAAUUCCUAGUUCUCAAAGCUUUGGAUUCGUGUUCGGGUUCUCUUGUUUUUUGCUGCUACAUUGCUGAGCUCCUGAAUCGUUCUUCUUGUUAUCAUUUUUCCUCUGUAUUCCGUUUUCUACAUCAAGGUAUUUUUCUCGAUUUUGAAUCAUGUGACUUGAUUUGAAUGAUUCAUGUUCUAUAAAAAAAGAAAUAAUUUUGUGAGGUUACAUGUUUUGCACUGAUUAAGAGAAUGACCGCUAGUGUCAAUUUGUAUGCUAUGUUUAUAACUAACUUCAAAGAGAUAACAUGAGAUUUCCCCACACUCUUUCAAAUGCUAAUUUCGUGUUAGUUUGUUUGUUGAACUAGGUGUUUAAAUUUAAAUCACUUUUCGAAUCAGUUUGGUUAAGCAUGAUUUUGAAUACUGCUUGUAACUUUCUUUGUGAGUUCUGCUUUUAUUUAAGGAUUGAAAGUUGAAGUCACAAAACACACACCACUAGUUUAAUGACUAUUGGCAGCAAACCUAUCUAGAUGUUGUAGCAGUUUUGUUGUAUGUUUAGAAACUAAACUUAUUGGUCGCUUUGAUGAAGAAUGUUGGGUGGAUUUAAACUGUUCUCAUCCUCGUUCAGGACUCUACUGUUACUGAUGAAGCUUUCUCUCAAAUUCAGUCUCUUUCUGUCAAGUUUUGUGAACCUGUUUGGUUUAUUGUUCUUAAAAUGAAAUGAUAGUUUGAUAAUUUGGGAUUUAAAGAUUUUGGUUGUCAGCAUCAUGCACUUCUGAUGAACAAUAUCUUGCUUUCUCUUAGGUUAAAAUUUUUUGGAGAGGAUAGUUAAAGGAGCAUGAAGCCAAUGAAUGUAUUGAUUGAAAGUUAAGGACAUAGAACAAAGAAUUUGCCCUGGAAUAUGCUGCAUAUAAUGUUAAAGACAAGAUUAAUUUCAAGCAAUGACAAAGCUAAUAGCCAAGAAUGGUUCAUGAGCCUUGCUGUGUGUCACAUUAGUUGCAUAGCACCUUUCAUAUGUAGAUGUCGUUUUUUAGAGGUUUGGAAGUGAAUCCUUAUUCUUUGAUAAUUGUUUAAUGUGAAUGACAACAAUGCUUGCUCUUUUCUCAGUCUGUAUCUUAUUAUGUCAAGAUGUGCAGAAUUUAUUGAAGGAA
rnacentral:lncRNA from 1 species